GGUAGUGUGGCUGAGUGGUCUAAGGCGCUGGUUUUAGGCUCCAGUCUCAAAAGAGGCAUGGGUUAAAAUCCCACCACUGCCA
rnacentral:tRNA from 1 species